ACAGAGGGUGCGAGCGUUAAUCGGAUUUACUGGGCGUAAAGCGUGCGUAGGCGGCUUUUUAAGUCGGAUGUGAAAUCCCCGAGCUUAACUUGGGAAUUGCAUUCGAUACUGGGAAGCUAGAGUAUGGGAGAGGAUGGUAGAAUUCCAGGUGUAGCGGUGAAAUGCGUAGAGAUCUGGAGGAAUACCGAUGGCGAAGGCAGCCAUCUGGCCUAAUACUGACGCUGAGGUACGAAAGCAUGGGGAGCAAACAG
rnacentral:rRNA from 1 species